rnacentral:lncRNA from 13 species
CUGGUCCGUCAGGAUAUAACUUCAACUCCAAAACCUGACCGCUUCUCAGUGGCCCAGCCACCAUCAUGGCCCAGGGACAUCACCUGCUGCUAAGAUUAUUACAGUGGCCUCCUCACCGUUGUCUCUGUCUCCCCCGCUCUGGGCCCUGUGGUUUGUUCUCAGUACAGGAGCCAUCAGGCCCAGAAGAGCAAGGAUCUUCUCACCAUGACCAGACCAUUGCUUCUUCCUCUGCCAUGUGUUGAUGGCCUUGGAAGUAAGAGAUGAUGAGGGCGGAUGGUACUUCCUUCCAUCAGGUACUUGCGAAGCACUUCCGGCUUGGACACCCACCAGCAGCAUAUGAACACGCUCAUUUCCCCACACUGAGAGAAACAUCUGAUACCAAACAACUUAAAAAUUUUGUCCAUCUGAAACCUGUCAAGGUCUCAUCGGAGGAGCUGCUGGGGAAGUGGACCAGGAUCACAGCUGCCCAUUCUCUCACCCCACCUACCUUCUGCAGAGUGGCCCAUUUGUGCUUCAGGAGGAAGAGUACAGGAGCAGUGGUCAGCAUGCUGUGA